UACGGAAGGCAGCAGUGGGGAAGUAUUGCACAAUGGGCGCAAGCCUGAUGCAGCCAUGCCGCGUGUAUGAAGAAGGCCUUCGGGUUGUAAAGUACUUUCAGUCGUGAAGGAAGGUGUUAAGGUUAAUAACCUUAGCAAUUGACGUUAGCGACAGAAGAAGCACCGGCUAACUCCGUGCCAGCAGCCGCGGUAAUACGGAGGGUGCGAGCGUUAAUCGGAAUUACUGGGCGUAAAGGGCACGCAGGCGGUUAAUUAAGUUGGAUGUGAAAUCCCCGGGCUUAACCUGGGAAUGGCAUUCAAGACUGGUUAGCUAGAGUCUUGUAGAGGGGGUAGAAUUCCAUGUGUAGCGGUGAAAUGCGUAGAGAUGUGGAGGAAAUACCGGUGGCGAAAGGCGGCCCCCUGGGACAAAAGACUGACGCUCAUGUGCGAAAAGCGUGGGGAGCAAAACAGGGAUUAGAUACC
rnacentral:rRNA from 1 species